rnacentral:rRNA from 1 species
AUUGAACGCUGGCGGCAUGCUUUACACAUGCAAGUCGAACGAGCGGCGGACGGGUGAGUAAUAUAUCGGAACGUGCCCAAUAGAGGGGGAUAACUACUGGAAAGAGUGGCUAAUACCGCAUACUAUAGGAGCGACCGAUAUGGGAUUAGCUAGUAGGAUGGGUAAAGGCUCACCUAGGCAACGAUCCGUAGCUGGUUUGAGAGGAUGACCAGCCACAGUGGGACGUAGACACGGCCCAGACUCCUACGGUAGGCAGCAGUGGGGAAGUUUGGACAAUGGGGGAAACCCUGAUCCAGCCAUCCCGCGUGUAUGAGAAGGCCUUCGGGUUGUAAAGUACUUUUGGCAGAGAGGCGGUAUCUGCAGAAUAAGCACCGGCUAACUACGUGCCAGCAGCCGCGGUAAUAC